CGAACUUCCGUUAAUUGAUUAUGACGUACUUGUACUGAUUGAGAUUUUAACACGAAGUGAGUGGCGAACGGGUGAGUAACACGUGGGUAACCUGCCCAGAAGUAGGGGAUAACACCUGGAAACAGAUGCUAAUACCGUAUAACAGAGAAAACCGCAUGGUUUUCUUUUAAAAGAUGGCUCUGCUAUCACUUCUGGAUGGACCCGCGGCGUAUUAGCUAGUUGGUGAGGUAAAGGCUCACCAAGGCAGUGAUACGUAGCCGACCUGAGAGGGUAAUCGGCCACAUUGGGACUGAGACACGGCCCAGACUCCUACGGGAGGCAGCAGUAGGGAAUCUUCCACAAUGGACGCAAGUCUGAUGGAGCAACGCCGCGUGAGUGAAGAAGGGUUUCGGCUCGUAAAGCUCUGUUGUUAAAGAAGAACGUGGGUAAGAGUAACUGUUUACCCAGUGACGGUAUUUAACCAGAAAGCCACGGCUAACUACGUGCCAGCAGCCGCGGUAAUACGUAGGUGGCAAGCGUUAUCCGGAUUUAUUGGGCGUAAAGCGAGCGCAGGCGGUCUUUUAAGUCUAAUGUGAAAGCCUUCGGCUCAACCGAAGAAGUGCAUUGGAAACUGGGAGACUUGAGUGCAGAAGAGGACAGUGGAACUCCAUGUGUAGCGGUGAAAUGCGUAGAUAUAUGGAAGAACACCAGUGGCGAAGGCGGCUGUCUGGUCUGCAACUGACGCUGAGGCUCGAAAGCAUGGGUAGCGAACAGGAUUAGAUACCCUGGUAGUCCAUGCCGUAAACGAUGAUUACUAAGUGUUGGAGGGUUUCCGCCCUUCAGUGCUGCAGCUAACGCAUUAAGUAAUCCGCCUGGGGAGUACGACCGCAAGGUUGAAACUCAAAAGAAUUGACGGGGGCCCGCACAAGCGGUGGAGCAUGUGGUUUAAUUCGAAGCUACGCGAAGAACCUUACCAGGUCUUGACAUCUUCUGACAGUCUAAGAGAUUAGAGGUUCCCUUCGGGGACAGAAUGACAGGUGGUGCAUGGUUGUCGUCAGCUCGUGUCGUGAGAUGUUGGGUUAAGUCCCGCAACGAGCGCAACCCUUAUUACUAGUUGCCAGCAUUAAGUUGGGCACUCUAGUGAGACUGCCGGUGACAAACCGGAGGAAGGUGGGGACGACGUCAAAUCAUCAUGCCCCUUAUGACCUGGGCUACACACGUGCUACAAUGGAUGGUACAACGAGUCGCGAAACCGCGAGGUUAAGCUAAUCUCUUAAAACCAUUCUCAGUUCGGACUGUAGGCUGCAACUCGCCUACACGAAGUCGGAAUCGCUAGUAAUCGCGGAUCAGCAUGCCGCGGUGAAUACGUUCCCGGGCCUUGUACACACCGCCCGUCACACCAUGAGAGUUUGUAACACCCAAAGCCGGUGGGGUAACCUUUUAGGAGCUAG
rnacentral:rRNA from 1 species